rnacentral:rRNA from 1 species
GGUCACUGCUAUUGGGNUUCGACUAAGCCAUGCGAGUCGAGAGGGUUCGGCCCUCGGCUGACUGCUCAGUAACACGUGGAUAAUUUGCCCUAAGGUGGANGNUNNCCUCGGGAAACUGAGAAUAAUACUCCAUAGGUCUAAGNUACUGGAAUGUUCUUAGGCUGAAAACUCCGGUGCCUUAGGAUAAGUCUGCGGACUAUCAGGUUGUAGUCAGGGUAAAGACCUGACUAGCCUAUGACGGAUAUGGGUUGUGGGAGCAAUAACCCAGAGAUGAUAUCUGAGACACGAUAUCAGGCCCUACGGGGCGCAGCAGGCGCGAAAACUUCACACUGCGGGAAACCGCGAUGAGGGAAUUCCAAGUGCUUAUACUUUGUAUAAGCUGUUUACUUGCCUAAAAAGCAGGUAGAGUAAGGGCUGGGUAAGACUGGUGCCAGCCGCCGCGGUAAUACCAGCAGCUCAAGUGGUGAUCGUUUUUAUUGGGCCUAAAGCGUCCGUAGCCUGUUUGGUAAACCCUUGGGUAAAUCGGGCAGCUUAACUGUCCGAAUUCUGAGGAGACUGCCAGACUUGGGACCGGGAGANGUCAGANGUACUCUUAGGGUAGGGGUGAAAUCCUGUAAUCCUAAGANGACCACCAGUGGCGAANGCGUCUGACUAGAACGGGUCUGACGGUAAGGGACGAANCCCUGGGUCACGAACCGGANUAGAUACCCGGGUAGUCCAGGGUGUAAACGCUGCGGGCUUGGNNNUGGGGGUCCUACGAGGGCNUCCAGUGCCGGAGAGAAGUUGUUAAGCCCGCCGCCUGGGGAGUACGAUCGCAAGAUUGAAACUUAA